rnacentral:rRNA from 1 species
AAACCAGCACCUCAAGUGGUCAGGAGGGUUAUUGGGCCUAAAGCAUCCGUAGCCUGCUUUGUAAGUUUUCGGUUAAAUCCAUGUGCUCAACAUAUGGGCUGCCGGGAAUACUGCAUAGCUAGGGAGUGGGAGAGGUAGACGGUACUCCAUAGGAAGGGGUAAAAUCCUUUGAUCUAUGGAAGACCACCUGUGGCGAAGGCGGUCUACCAGAACACGUUCGACGGCGAGGGAUGAAAGCUGGGGGAGCAAACCGGAUUAGAAACCCCGGUAGUCC